CGGGGCCCCUCGCUCUGGAGGGAAGGUUCCUCUUGUUCUCGGCCAUUCUGAGAAAGUCUGUUGGCAAGAGCCCUGGGGAGAGCCCUUCGCAGUGCAACAGCUCUCACGGUUUUGGAGGGGCCAGCCAGCCCCCACGGCCAAGGGACAAGGCAGCCCCGGAACUGGGCCUCUCGGGCUGUUUUCUCUGAUGACAGCCCAAGAGCCAGCCUACAACAGGCUCUGGCCCGCGGCCCCGCCUCUCAGCCUUGCCACCCUCUGUCCUGCCUUUUAAAGCCAGCCGGAGAGCAGGCACCAGGCCAGGGGCAGGCGGCCAGACACACCCCGCUCCCUGGGAGCACUGGGCACACCGGCUGUCUCCUUGACAGGCAGCGAAGAAGGCCAACCAGGACAGAGAUGCUGUGACCCAGCCACAGGCAAUGGCUGGAGCCUGCCUCAGCUUGGGCCAUCUUCAAAGGGACAAGUCCCUCACCUCGAGGGCCAAGGCCGCUUUGAUUUCAGACAGAAGCAGGACCCCAGAUAGCUGUGACCUCGGAGGUGGUGGUUCUCCUGGAAGGUGACUCUGGUGGUCUGGCUGUGUCACUGGGUUGCAGUCACCUAGCUGGGUCACUGAGCGUCCCAAUGGCUCUGAGGAGGGGUGGAAGGGGGUGGGGGACACAGGUCUCGCCAGCCCGGGCCUCGGGGAUGCCUCGAAUCCCACCCCAUCCCAGCCCCGCCCUGCCUACCUCCUGGCACCAGGACGCUCCAGGCUACGCACACACCCCACCUGCUCCCAUCUGCUCACGAAAGCAGCGACCAGCUCUCCCCACUGCCUACCAAGAUCCUAUUCACCCAUCAAGGAUCAAAGCCAGUGCCACCUCCUCCCAGAAGUCUUCCAGACUCCCUCUCUCCAAAACAAACAAAAAGAACACCUCUGUAUUCUUCAAAACCAGGCCCGGCCCGGGGCCUGACACAUUUUCCAGUUCUUACGUGACCCGGCGGGAAGACAGGCUCUGAGAACCACUGCGCGCCUGCCCUCUGAUCCACACAGGAGGCUCUAUUUAAACGUUCAGCUUUGGAAAUUGAGUGGCUUCCGAUCGCUGAACUGGAUACGGAUCACCGGAUCACCGCUCUCAACACAGAGAAACCCAGCUCCUCUGACUCUCGAGUGUGACCCGUGGCCGCACACAAGGCUGGGCCUGUCCCCAGAGGGGCCGCUUCAGGCCUUUCCCCUUGGCCCAGCCCCCUCCCUGGCCUGGGGUCUGGGGGAAGUUGAAUGAUAAGCAGUUCCCAGGGCCUCUCUGUAACGUCCCCUGCACGCCCAGCCUGCACUGUCCAGGCUCCGCUUCCUUUCUGGCAAUUUCCUCCAGUCCAUCGGGCAUGCCGAGAAGAGCCCGCCUGCCCUGCUGGGCGUUCUGGAAAAUCCCUAUAAAAACUCCCACCCGCAGGGGCCGUGGCUGUAACCCCAGGGUCACAGGGCUUCGAGGGGCAAGGUAUGCGCUAUUCCUGGGAGCCUGCGGCUCUGCUCCCUCCCAAGGAAGAAGGCCAGUCCUGCUUCCCGCCUUGCCUUCCACUCACGGCCAUGCCACGGUGCAGACGUCUGCAGGCUGGAUCCAGGCGGAGGAAACCCUCUGCUUGCUGAAUUUCCCUAUGGCUGAGUCUCAUAGCUCCGAACGGUUCUCAAAAAAAUU